rnacentral:rRNA from 1 species
AUUGAACGCUGGCGGAAUGCUUUACACAUGCAAGUCGAACGGCAGCACGGGGGCGAACCCUCGGUGGCGAGUGGCGAACGGGUGAGUAAUACAUCGGAACGUGCCCACGUCGUGGGGGAGUAACUACGCGAAAGCGUAGCUAAUACCGCAUACGAUCUACGGAUGAAAGCGGGGGACCGUAAGGCCUCGCGCGAUUGGAGCGCCGAUGGCAGAUUAGGUAGUUGGUGGGGUAAAGGCNCACCAAGCCGACGAUCUGUAGCUGGUCUGAGAGGACGACCAGCCACACUGGGACUGAGACACGG